rnacentral:lncRNA from 1 species
GCAUCUCGAGAAUCAGCAGAACAGCCAACUGGGGCAUUAUCAAAAAAAAAAAAGAAAAAAAAAGAAAAAAAAGAAAAAAGAAAGAGGAGGGUGCAAAAUCAAAAAAAAAAAGAAAUCAAUCAAAACCAAAAGAAAUCAAAAGAAAGCAAAAUCAAAAGAAAACAAAAGAAAAUAGCACCCUCAAAGUCCCAAGUUGACUGAUGC